AUUGAACGCUGGCGGCAUGCUUUACACAUGCAAGUCGAACGGUAACAGGCCUUCGGGCGCUGACGAGUGGCGAACGGGUGAGUAAUGCAUCGGAACGUGCCCAGUCGUGGGGGAUAACGCAGCGAAAGCUGUGCUAAUACCGCAUACGAUCUGCGGAUGAAAGCGGGGGACCUUCGGGCCUCGCGCGAUUGGAGCGGCCGAUGUCAGAUUAGGUAGUUGGUGGGGUAAAGGCUCACCAAGCCGACGAUCUGUAGCUGGUCUGAGAGGACGACCAGCCACACUGGGACUGAGACAAGGCCCAGACUCCUACGGGAGGCAGCAGUGGGGAAUUUUGGACAAUGGGCGCAAGCCUGAUCCAGCAAUGCCGCGUGCAGGAAGAAGGCCUUCGGGUUGUAAACUGCUUUUGUACGGAGCGAAAAGGCUCUCUCUAAUACAGGGGGCUCAUGACGGUACCGUAAGAAUAAGCACCGGCUAACUACGUGCCAGCCGCCGCCGUAAUAC
rnacentral:rRNA from 1 species